rnacentral:lncRNA from 1 species
CCUGCGAUCAAGUUCCAUGAAAAAUAGAGACCAAAACAAAUAAAUAGGACAGAGAAAUUUAGAGGUAUAGAGAUAAUGCCAGAAACAAAAGAAAAUAUCAAAAAUAAAACUACUGGGAUGCCUGGGUGGCUCAGUGUUGAGUGUCCGCCUUUGGCUCAGGUCGAGAUCCUGGAGUCCUGGGAUAGAGUCCCACAUCAGGCUCCCCACAGGGAGCCUGCUUCUCCGAGUAUGUCUCUGCCUCUCUCUGUAUGUCUCUCAUGAAUAAUAAAUAAAAUCUUAAAAAAAAAAAAACAAAAACAAAACCAUACACACAAGUUUCACCCUAUUAUCAUCCUACCUUUCUCAUAGCUUUUUUCUGUCUCCUCCAGCUCUAUGUCCCGUUCAUCCCCAAUGAACAUAAUACACCUGCUUUGGCCCUCUCUUCAGUCUAUACCUACAAUGUCCAAUAUAGUAGCCAUCAGUCAAACAUAGUUAUUUAAACUUAAUUAAAACUAAAUAAAAAUUCAACUCUUCAGUUGCACUGAGCCAUAUUUCAAGUGCUCAACAGCUCAACAACUUAAAAGUGGCUAGCAGCCACUCUAUUAAGAUUUUUUUUUUUUUAAGAUCUUAUUUCUUUAUUCAUGAGAGACACACACACAUAGAGAGAGAGAGAGAGAGAGAGAGAGAGGCAGAGACACAGGCAGAGGGAGAAGCAGGCUCCAUACAGGGAGCCCGACGACGUGAGACUCCAUCCCGGGUCUCCAGGAUCAGGCCCAGGGCUGAAGGUGGCGCUAAACUGCUGAGCUACCUGGGCCGCCCUCUAUUAAGAUUUAGAACAUUUCCAUGCAAGUUCUAUUGGACAGUGAUAGUCUAUAUACUCUCUUUCCAUUGAACUGACUGAUAUUUAUGGAGGGUCUUUUGUGUACCAGGCACUGUUCUGGACCCUAAAGAUAGAGCACUGGAGAAAACAAAGUCCUGCUAUGGAGCCGACAUCUAGUAGGAGGAAAGAGACAAUCUCAUUUAUUUCCAAACUGUCAUAGGGCUCCUAAGGCCUCUCCUGGGCUCCUAACUUGAAAUUUACAGCUUCUGCUAGAGUGCUAUGAAUUAUUAUACUCUGUCCCAAACUGAAUUCGGUAUCUUCUUUUUCCUCUCAAAUUUCCUUUUACUGUAUUCUUGAUUUCUUUCUUUCUUUCUUUCUUUUUAAAGAUUUAUCCAUUCAUGAUAGACACAGAAAGAGAGAGAAAGAGAGAGAGAGAGAGAGAGAGGCAGAGGGAGGGAAAAGCAGGCUCCAUGCCGGGAGCCCGACGCAGGACUCGAUCCCAGGUCUCCAGGAUGGCGCCCUAGGCCAAAGGCAGGCGCCAAACCGCUGAGCCACCCAGGGAUCCCCUGUAUUCUUGAUUUCUGAGUAACCCUGGCCUUUUUCUCCUAUGUCCUACCACAUCCAGUUACCAAACCUUGUUGAAUUUAUCUGUACUAAACCUCUCUCUCUACCUUUACUGUCACUGCCCUAAUGAACUCUUGGCCCAAAGCCUCCAAAAUUAACUUCUCUAACUGAUCCUUCCACAUUUGCUUCAUGCAUGUCCUAGUUCACCCUAGUCCAUCUGGCAUUAAUAUUAUGCUUCUAAAACACAAAUUUGAUCCUGUAGUUUCCCAGAUCAAAAACCACCAGAUAAACGCCUUAAGUAUAAAACAAAUCCCUUAGCACAAACUCAAAGCAUCACAUAAUUUGGUUACAAACUACUUUAUCCUUCUAAUCUACUCUCCUGCUACAUACUGUACUACCCAGCCACCCCAAAUUACUAGAUCCCUUCAGGAAUCAAUCUCUCCCACAAAAUCUUCUACUUUUCUCCACUUAAAUACACAAAUACAAUCUCUUCAGCCACGAAGGCUGAUUCAAAGGACACCUGUCUCUUAAGUCUCUUAUCUCCCAAUCAAUCUUAAUUAUUUACUCUACAGAACUGCUGUAGUAAUUACACAUAAUCAUCAUACGUACAUCAUAUUCUCAGCGUCUGGUACCUGGGGAGUACCACGUUAAAGGACUAAAUACUUCUCUGAACAUUUAUGUCUGUGUUACGCGGAAAGACCCAUUUUUCGGUCAUAUUCGUGGAAACCUUUUCUUUCCUAGUAGGACUCAACAGCUUCAUACUCUGCGGGUAUUCGAGAAGUACUCAACAGAAUGUAAGGCCUGCGCGGUAUUUUCUCACAUUCGGAGCCAGCGCAUCGAUGCUGCCUGACUGGAGGCUCUGC